UUGGACAACAAUCACUUCAUUAAAAGGAGGAAAAAUUUGASCAAUCACACRUUUCACAUGGUGAARGUCACAUGUGUGGMACGUGUUACCUUUGAAUAGUGAUUCAGAACCACACAUUGUACUACGCGACCCUUCCAAUGGCGAUUUUAACUGAGACCGAGUGCGCAUGUUCACCAUAGAAGCCAACCCCAAAUCCUUUCGCGGGAGUUUGAGCGUUUGAUCGGGAGUGUACCMUGUAAUUACAGUCUGUUCCCACUCAAUGAUGAUUUAUCCCAUCACUCAAGGAAGACGCCUCAUAACGGCUAACAUCAGGGGUACCCUUGUGUCUUAUCAUGAACGGGGUAGGAAAAGGUGGUCCUCAGCCCUGGUGACGGAGGCUGCUGCAGCUACAGGACUACCUGUGUCUGUAGUUAAGAAGCAGAAAGAUGAGGCAGACAAUGCAAAGUGACAGACACCAAGAGCAGAGCACAGCUUCCCGAAGAGGAAAUAUAAUUUGCAACACUUUUUAGAGAGAGAUCUAGAGAGAUCUAUCCAUUCCAUGCCCCACCCCGUCAAAGGUCAGACAAUUGAAGAUAAACUGGAGGCCCAUCUCUUAACCCCUUGGCUGACAUCAAACUGCCCCACGGUCAAGGUAGUGGGAAGGGGGCCYGUAUGGUCUGUGUUAUUUAUUUAUUUAUUUACAGGGCCAGUCAAAAGUUUGGACACACCUACUUAU